rnacentral:tRNA from 1 species
GCAAAGGUAGCUUAACAGAAUAAAGCAUAGCACUGAAAAUGCUCCAAAAGGGGUUUAAGUCCCCUCCUUAGCA